GAUGAACGCUGGCGGCGUGCCUAAUACAUGCAAGUCGAGCGAACAGACGAGGAGCUUGCUCCUCUGACGUUAGCGGCGGACGGGUGAGUAACACGUGGAUAACCUACCUAUAAGACUGGGAUAACUUCGGGAAACCGGAGCUAAUACCGGAUAAUAUAUUGAACCGCAUGGUUCAAUAGUGAAAGACGGUUUUGCUGUCACUUAUAGAUGGAUCCGCGCCGCAUUAGCUAGUUGGUAAGGUAACGGCUUACCAAGGCAACGAUGCGUAGCCGACCUGAGAGGGUGAUCGGCCACACGGGAACUGAGACCCGGUCCAGACUCCUACGGGGGGCACCAGUAGGGAAUCUUCCGCAAUGGGCGAAAGCCUGCCGGAGCACGGCCGCUGAAGUGAUGAAGGUCUUCGGAUCGUAAAACUCUGUUAUUAGGGAAGAACAAAUGUGUAAGUAACUAUGCACGUCUUGACGGUACCUAAUCAGAAAGCCACGGCUAACUACGUG
rnacentral:rRNA from 1 species